CAGUCGCCGCGGUAAUACGUAGGUGGCAAGCGUUGUCCGGAAUUAUUGGGCGUAAAGGGCUCGCAGGCGGUUUCUUAAGUCUGAUGUGAAAGCCCCCGGCUCAACUGGGGAGGGUCAUUGGAAACUGGGAAACUUGAGUGCAGAAGAGGAGAGUGGAAUUCCACGUGUAGCGGUGAAAUGCGUAGUGAUGUGGAGGAACACCAGUGGCGAAGGCGACUCUCUGGUCUGUAACUGACACUGAGGAGCGAAAGCGUGGGGAGCGAACAGGAUUAGAUACCCCGGUAGUCCCUGUCUCUUAUAC
rnacentral:rRNA from 1 species